rnacentral:rRNA from 1 species
CGGCGAGUGAAGCGGCAAAAGCUCAAAUUUGAAAUCUGGCGCCUUCGGUGUCCGAGUUGUAAUUUGAAGAUUGUAACCUUGGGGUUGGCUCUUGUCUAUGUUUCUUGGAACAGGACGUCACAGAGGGUGAGAAUCCCGUGCGAUGAGAUGCCCAAUCCUAUGUAAGGUGCUUUCGAAGAGUCGAGUUGUUUGGGAAUGCAGCUCUAAGUGGGUGGUAAAUUCCAUCUAAAGCUAAAUAUUGGCGAGAGACCGAUAGCGAACAAGUACAGUGAUGGAAAGAUGAAAAGAACUUUGAAAAGAGAGUGAAAAAGUACGUGAAAUUGUUGAAAGGGAAGGGUUUGAGAUCAGACUCGAUAUUUUGUGAGCCUUGCCUUCGUGGCGGGGUGACCCGCAGCUUAUCGGGCCAGCAUCGGUUUGGGCGGUAGGAUAAUGGCGUAGGAAUGUGACUUUACUUCGGUGAAGUGUUAUAGCCUGCGUUGAUGCUGCCUGCCUAGACCGAGGACUGCGAUUUUAUCAAGGAUGCUGGCAUAAUGAUCCCAAACCGCCC